UACGAAGGGGGGCUAGCGUUGUUCGGAUUUACUGGGCGUAAAGCGCACGUAGGCGGAUCGUUAAGUCGGGGGGUGAAAUCCUGGAGCUCAACUCCAGAACUGCCUUCGAUACUGGCGAUCUUGAGUCCGGAAGAGGCGAGUGGAAUUCCUGGUGUAGCGGUGAAAUGCGCAGAUAUCAGGAGGAACACCAAUUGCGAAGGCAGCUCGCUGGGACGUUACUGACGCUGAGACGCGAAAGCGUGGGGAGCAAACAGG
rnacentral:rRNA from 1 species